rnacentral:tRNA from 2 species
CGCGGGAUGGAGCAGUUGGUAGCUCGUCGGGCUCAUAACCCGAAGGUCGCAGGUUCGAGUCCUGCUCCCGCUACUA